UGCCAUGUAGGAAAUAUCCAGAAAUCAAAAAAAGAAAAAUACUCUUUUGUCCUAACUGCCCCUUCUCUCCUUUCCAGAUUACGCCGACCACACCUCCUCCUCCCUUACCUGCGAUUUUGCGUUCAUCGCCUUCAACCACCGACCUGAACAAACCUCCUCCUCACCAACACUGCUCCGGAAAAUCCCCCUUCCUAUUUCCAGUCGGUUUUAACGCAGAAAAGAGAGGAAGAAUGCGGCUGAGGUAUUUUCCGAUUUAAGCUCCAUCUGCUAUUUCCGGUCACCUGAGCUCGAUCUUGGCAAACCGAACUUCCUCCGCGUCGCUAUUGCUUCUCUGGUCACCGUUUCCCUUAUCUCCGACCUGCCAUGUCGUAGCACGAGGACGAGAGUGAGACAGAAGAGCAUUUGUCGUUCGGGACAACCCUCUUUCUCUGUUCUUUCGACGUCUCUGGCAAGACCAGCCAAGGACCGGCUGGUGUAGGUCUCCCACAUCGUCCACCGGUCCUCCUCCGGCUGCUCCCCUUCCCAUUUUCUGGUCUGGUUGUGGCGCAGUAGCGAGAAAGAAAGGGUUAAGCGAAGAGCAGCAUUUUUUCCGGUCAUUCUAACCGGAAAACUUCAAUUUCCGGCAUAGUUUUCUCUGGAUCAUCUGGGUUCAUCCACUGCUCCUCCAAGUCAAAAUAUGAGCUGGAGUUUCUUUUUUUCUCUAUCACUAAGUAGAAUCCUCGUUGAUUCGGCUAAAGCUCUGCAUCCUCCUCUGCAAGGCUAUAGAAGUAAAUUUCUAAUUUUGGUAGUUACAAACAAAGACUCUAUUAUUAUUUCUAAUUAUUAUUGAACUCUGGAGUUGUAAGACUUAUAUACAUCUAAUCGUGUAGUAAAAUGGGUAUACUAACUCAUAACAUUAUGAAUGUUUUAAUUAUUUAUCUAAGUGUAUGUGUGAACUAGUUAGCCUAUAUUAUGAAUGAUGUGUAUUAUAAUUAGACUCGAACUAUGAGUUAUUUGAGAUGUUGAAAUUGGAUCAGGAAUAUGUGAUUAUUAGAUUUAUAUAUAAAA